rnacentral:lncRNA from 1 species
CAAAGAAAGGCAUGAACUCAACAGCAUCAAUCUCAGUUCGUGGAGUUCUUAACCGCUUAGCUGAAAAUCUGAACAAAGAAGACAAAAGAGAAGUUAUACCACUAGCUCAUGGUGACCCUUCUGCCUUCCCUUGCUUCAGGACUACACCUGUGGCUGAUGAGGCUAUUUUUGAUGCUGUACGAUCUGCUAAGAACAAUCAUUAUGCUCCAACUGUGGGUCUCCUUCCUGCUAGGAGGUAUCUACUUUGAAUGAUUUUGUGUGUGUAGAUUUUUAUGCUCUCUGUCUUUAACAUUUCUCCGUGUUGAUAAUUUCCACUGAAGCAGUUUUGAUUUGUGGUUUAUGUUAAAUUUGCAUCCAUAUUGUGGGGAUGAAGUUUUAUUGAGCUUAACAAGCUCUAACAUGAAGCGAUUAAGCUUGGCAUACAUCCCGUAGGAACCUCAGACACUGUGUUUUCAAUCAAUCAAUAUACUCUCCUUAAUUGUAGGCUAGAAUAUUCAAAUAUACUCUGAAUUGAAAGUGAUUUUGAAUUCUUUAUUAUAGAGCUGCUGCAGAUUACCUUAACCGUGACCUCCCAUACAAGUUAUCACCAGAUGAUGUUUUUCUCACACUUGGUUGCAUACAAGCAAUUGAAAUUGCAGUAACAGUCUUGGCUGCUAUACCUGGUGCCAAUGUUUUGCUUCCAAGACCAGGUUUCCCAUACUAUGAAGCUCGUGCUGCACAUUGUUGUCUUGAUGUCCGGCAUUUUGAUCUUCUCCCAGAAAAAGGAUGGGAGGUUGAUCUUGAAGCUGUUGAAGCUCUGGCAGAUGAGAACACGGUUGCAAUGGUUAUUAUAAACCCUGGCAAUCCUUGUGGAAGUGUCUACAGCUAUCAACACUUGGAAAAGGUGUCAUAAACUAUAUCUCUUUCCUAUCUUUUAAUCUGCAUUAGCUGGAGCGCGUGGUUAUGCAGCUCCCUUGGAGUAAUGUUUUUUGAUCAAUAUCAGGUUGCCGAGACAGCAAGAAUGCUUGGGAUUAUGGUGAUUUCUGAUGAAGUAUAUGGCCACUUGACAUUUGGGAGUGCUCCAUUUGUGCCGAUGGGAGUCUUUGCGUCAACUGUGCCUGUCCUUACACUUGGAUCUAUAUCGAAGAGAUGGAUUGUUCCCGGCUGGCGAAUGGGUUGGCUUGUCACAAAUGAUCCCAAUGGCAUCCUUCAAGAUUCUGGGGUUGGCUCCCUGUCUCUCCCUCGAAGUAGAUGCAUGGACGUUGUUUUUUUUUUUUUUAAUUCUGUGGGAACUGACUUGUUAUCCCAUCAUGGUUCAAAGCCUUCUGUUCUUUUUAAUGAUAACAUCUAUGUCUGCGUUAAUAUGGACUUGUAAUCUUGGCUUCUUAACAUAUCUAUUUGUUCUUCCUAGAUUGUUGCGUCAAUCAAGGACUACCUCAAUAUAUCUUCGGAUCCUCCGACUUUCAUUCAGGUUUGUAAUUCACGAGACUUUUCCUGAAGAGCAUAUUGUUGGUUUCCCGCUUAGAAUCUCACUGAUAUAAUGAAUCCUUGACAUGUAUUAGGCUGCAGUUCCUCAAAUCAUUGAAAAUACAAAGGAUGGUUUCUUUUCGAAAAUUAAUAAUAUACUGGGAGAGGCUGCAGACAUAUGCUAUGGAAAAAUACAGGACAUACCUUGCAUCAUUUGCCCUCAUAAACCAGAAGGUUCUAUGUUUGUAAUGGUGAGCGCAUCACAUUUCUUUUCCUUUAUAUGAUGAAGAAGAUGGUGCUUUAAUAAUUAAAAACAUUAACCCUUUUUCAGGUAAAAUUGAAUUUGACUCUGCUGGAAGGCAUCGAUGAUGAUGUGGACUUCUGUCUUAAGCUGGCUAAAGAGGAAUCAGUCAUGGUACUCCCAGGUAAUCAAUGCCGAUGGCACAAAGUUUCUGAUGUGGGGUGGGCUAUAUUGGUGACAAAUGUGAGCUUUAUAGACUUUACAAGCUUAAAAUGUGAACUCUAAAUGUGUUCAUUCUUGGUGUCCUUGUCGAAUUCACGUGAUCUUAUCUGACAAUUUAAGCUUUAAUUUGAGCAUCACUGUGCACUGAUGAUUGAUCAAUUCAAUCAUCGACACUCAUCCUGACAACAUUGUAUUACAUCUUGCAGGAAUUGCUGUAGGAAUGAAGAAUUGGCUUCGCAUAACCUUCGCCAUUGAGCCUUCAGCACUUGAAGUUGGCCUUGAGAGGCUAAAAGUCUUCUGCCAAAGGCAUGCCAAGAAGCAGUAAGAUUUCAUCGAAGUAUCAAGCAGCGAAGAGAAUCAAUAGUUGCUCGUUGAUUCUCAUGCUCCAAUGUUAGAUUUACUAGCCAUUCUGUCAACAAGAACAGGCUGUGGAGAUGUACAACUUCUCGUUGGAUCUCCAAGGUGCAAUUGCUUAUCAUCAAAAACCUUUUCUCGCAAACUCUACGUAUCAAGCAGUGAAGAGAAUCAAUAGUUGCUCGUUGAUUCGCAUGCUCCAAUGUUAGAUUUACUAGCCAUUCUGUCAACAAGAACAGGCUGUGGAGAUGUACAACUUCUCGUCGGAUCUCCAAGGUGUAAUUGCCUGUCAGAAAAUUAUCUCUCUUAAACUCUACUGUGAAGUGAUUUUCUUGCCUCAAAAAACCUUUUGACAUUGCUUUUACCUGCAGUAUAUUUGUUUUUUUUUAUGAAAGAUGAGAAACUUUCCAGUCUCUUCUGUGUAAUAUGUGGUUUGUUGGUGCAUUUGCCCCCUUAUUCCUAGUUUUGUCUUGAUUUGGUCCUUUACCCCUUAGUCCUUUUAUUAUUUAAUUUGUAAUUGUUUAAUCCUAUUUGUAACACUGCGAUCAAUUUAACUUUUAAUUGCUACAUAUCCCUUAAAAAUUAACACCAUCCACCCUUGAUGGCAGGAUCUACAAUGUCUCUGGAAGAGGCAAAGGGUGCUCUAUCAAGGAGGGAGAAAAUAAUAAGAUAAAACUGAGUACGGUAAGACUAAAUACACACCAAAUCACUGUUGUUAAAAUUACCCUGGCAUGGUCCGCUAGAGACCUAUCCCGAGCCAGAUUUUACUUAAAAAUAAUUUUUUUGACCCGAUAUGAUUUAAUUAGAAAUUCAAAUGAUUUAUGAUUUAGUUAAAACUCAUUAAUUUUUUCUUUUAAAAUAUAUUAAUCUUUCUAAAUUCAUAAUGAAACCUUGUAUCUAAAUAACCCGAGUAAAAUUUAAUAACCAUGUUAUAUAACUUACGACUCCAGAGCGAGAGAGAACUGUGGAAGAGUAGAUGGUGUCUGUGUAGCAGUGCAAUCGUAGCAUAAUUUGACUAAGGAAAAAGAAUUGCUCUUUAUUUGAAGGUCUUAGAAAGGCUGGCCUAUAAUAUAAUAUAAUAUAAUGCAUGAACAAUAAUUGAAUCUAGAGGAUUCUAAUAAGAAUGGCCCAUACAUGCAAAAUUGAGAUUAUAUAUUAGAAAAUAAUGCUUGGUCAUGUCCUGUCGAUCAGUUUGGGCCAUUCUUAAAAAUCAACAAGUUUAUGCUAAUUCAUUAUACCUUGCAAUAGCCCAUAAUAACGUAGUUACCGGUUUACUGUAGGUUUGAGAUUCUAGUAACGUUUGUCGUACCCGACAUCGCGGCGGUCCUAAAAAAUAAUCUCUUGAUUAUGGAAAAAGAACAGAUAUCUGGCAUCUGGUUCUUUUAAGAAAAAAUGUCUUGUUUGAGGAGUCGCCACCUAGUAUUAUGGUCACUAGGAACCCUAACUGGUCAACAGAGAUUCUAUGGCCCGGGAUUGGUUACGUAAAAAAGAAGAUAUUAUCACCCCUUAAACGUUCUGCCUGAGGCAGACUGCAUUGCUGGUUUUGUCUUAAAUUGCUAAACAUUUAUUCGCUUAUGCUAUGAUGAUCUGUUUAUAAUAUUCCUGACUCUGGCGCCAGUGAAUAUUCGAGCUCGAAUAAUUCCAACUCUGGCGUUGGUAAAAAUUCGUAGCUACGAAAAAUUAGAUCAAUAUUUUUUUAUUCCCUACUCUAGUGCUAGUGAAUAAAUAAAUAAAAAUAAAUUGAUUUUUAUGCAUGCACAUAUUUUUUUAUUUUUCUAGCUAAAUAAAAUAAAAUACACCGAAUAAAAAUAAUAUAAAUUUAAACCGGUAUUUUUAUUCCUGACUCUGGCGUCAGUGAAUAAACCAAUAAAUUUAUAUUAUUUUUAUUCAUUCAUACACAUUUUUUUUAUUUUUUCUACUUUUUUACUUUUCUGUUUUUUUUAUUUUUUUUUAUUUUUUUGGGCUGGGCCCAACUCAGCCCACAUGGGCUGGGCUAGACCCAGCCAGCCCAGCCCAGUCACUGGCUCAAGCCAGUGACCCGGCUGGGCAAAAAUCAAAGAAAGCACGCGUGAAGUGAUUUCACGCGUGCAUGAGCAGAAUAGAGGAAAUGAGUUAGAAUGUGUGAAUUAAAAUUCAAAGUAAACAGUAGCCGGUGAAUUAAAAUGAAAAGCGGGGAAGAGGAAGAACUUACCUGGUCUGCUGGAGGCGAAGCUUUCUUGUUCUCUGGCUCUUCUUCGUUUUUUGUUCGCCUGGCUUGCUCUCUGAUUCGGGAGACGGAGGCGUGAUGGAUGACCGGCCAAAGCUCUGCUUCGGUUGCCUUGUAUGCUCCUGCGUUGUCCUCUUGUUCUCGGUCCCCGUCUCUCCUUUGUUUUCUUCUUUCGUGUUUUUUCAGUCUCUCGGUUCUGUUUUUCUCUCCGUCUCUCUCUGCCCAGUGCGCUCUCCCCUUUUCAGUCCCUUUUUCUCCCCCCCGUUCGUUCGUCUCCUCUGUUUCCUUUUGAAGAAACUAGAGGCUCCACACGUCCACUCCUUUUUCUUUUUUUCUUUUUUUUUUCCUCUGGUGUUUUGCUCCAGUUCCUCCUGUUCUCGGUGUAUUAUUGCUUUGGAUUUGUGCUCUGCUUUUUCUCUCUUCUUUGCUCUGAUUUUCUUCUCUGGUUUUUUGUCUGGGUUUAGCUGAAGCUUUUCCUCGGUUUCUCGUCCGAAAUCCCACUGUUUCCCCCCCUUUCAGUCCCCAGUUUUUCUUCCUUUUUUUUUUUGCGUUCUUUGUUUUCUCUGGCUUUAUAGCCACAGAAUUCCACCGUUACCAGGUAAUAAAUCGACUGUUAUUGCAGGAGUAAUGGUGGCGGUGGGCAGCUGAGGCGCCGAAGAAGAUGAACAGUGUUGAGAAACGGCACCCUUUUUUUGUGUUUUGAUCCUUCACAUUUUGAAUGUUUUCAGUCCAGUCCUUGGAUAAAUUGUAAUUGAACCCCUGCAUCUCAGCGCCAUUUACACAUUGGUCCUUGGGUUUUAAUUUCUUUCAAAUGUGACAAGAAUCAGCCCUAUACUUUGAUAAUUGUUCAAUUAAGUCCUUGAUUUCAUUAAUUUAAUUAAAUCCAAGUCCAAUUAAAUCUCAAAACUUAUCAAUUCUCCAUUUAAACCCCUGAUUGGAUUAAUUAGAUUAAUUCCAAAGUUUAAUUAAACCCCAAAACUUCCAAUCAUGUUGCCUUUAACCCAAAUUUUAAUUCAUUUUUCAUUUAUUUCAUUUUACUUGUUUUUCAUCAUCAUUUUUUUAUUCUUUUCAGUAAAUAAAAUAAUAAUAAUAAUUAAAAUAAAAGGGUCAAAAAUUAGGUUAUGACAACGUUAACAGUUUAAAAUAUUUUUUUAUUUAUAAAUUUUAUUUUUUAAAAUUUAACACCAACAUAUAUAUAUAUAUAUAUAUAUAUAUAUAUAUAUAUAUAUUCAUUUUAAGCAAAGUAAAAAAAAUUCAAAAUGUUUGGGAAUGUUAUUUGCACCGCGUUUCUAAACACAUCCUUAAUCAAUAAUUACGGUAUAGUUUGUACGGAUCAACUUAUAUUGAUCUAAAACACUUUUUUUAAAUGUUUUUUUUGUUAAAGGUUGAAAUAAUAUUAUUUUAGAUUUUUUUUAAAAAAUCAAGCAGGGUUUUAUCAUGGUUUUAAUCAAGUUAACUUGUUAGAUUUAAUUUAUCAACUCCCACUCAAUCCAAUAUAAAACUCGAUAUAAACUAGAUCUCGAAUUAGCAAGGUCUUAAUUAAAUUAACAAGGCAUGUCAGGUUUAAUAAUACUUUCAAAUAAAAUAUAAUUUAUUUCAAGUUUUUAGUAUCUAAUUAUUUUUAUUACUAAAAUAUAAAAUAUCUAGAGAGCAUUGAGUAACAUAAGAUUUCUUCGUACUCCAACACAUUAAAAAUACAAUUGUAGAUUGCGUUAGAUUUGAUCAGAACUUUAAACUAGAUCAUGUAUCAGAGGAGGAAGGUUUAAUUUGGUCCCUAUAGUUUUUAAGAUUUAACUUCCCUAAGUUUUUUAAGAUUUAACUUAGUUUUUUCUUCAAUUUCAUGUUUUUUCCAUCUUUGUUUUUGAAGAAAAUGGAAAAAAAGGAGAACUAGAUUAGAGGAUGAGACUGGUCAUCGAUAGUAAAAUGGUUAUGUAAUAAUAUUUUUUAUUAAAGUAUAACUUAAUUGGUUAUACCUUAAAUAUAAUUUUCAGAUAUUAUCAAUUUAAAUAUUACAAACUUUAGAGCGACUAUAUCCAGAUUCCUGCAGUUAAAAAAUAAUAAUAAUAAAUGUUUUAUACCAUAAGGAUUACUCGUUAUUUUUUUUUUGACAAAAAAUAACAAACGCGACAAAACUCUCUUUUAUCAUGAACCUUGUCCUGACUAUGCAUCAAACAGGAGCAACGACAAGAAGAACCAGCCACAACCUCUUCAUCUCCACUGCAAACACAGAUACCAUCGUAAGAAAUGGAGAAUGGAACAGAGAAAUGGAGUUUUCAGGCAAGUAAAGGCAAGAACUCAACAGCAUCAAUCACAGUUCGUGGAGUUCUUAACCGCUUAGCUGAAACUCUGAACAAAGAAGACAAAAGAGAAGUUAUACCACUAGCUCAUGGUGACCCUUCUGCCUUCCCUUGCUUCAGGACUACACCUGUGGCUGAUGAGGCUAUUUUUGAUGCUGUACGAUCUGCUAAGAACAAUCAUUAUGCUCCAACUGUGGGUCUCCUUCCUGCUAGGAGGUAUCUACUUUGAAUGAUUUUGUGUGUGUAGAUUUUUAUGCUCUCUAUCUUGAAAAUUUCUCGGCUUUGAUAAUUUCCACUGAAGCAGUUUUGAUUUGUGGUUUAUGUUAAAUUUGCAUCCAUAUUGUGGGGAUGAAGUUUUAUUGAGCUUAACAAGCUCUAACACGAAGCGAUUAAGCUUGGCAUACAUCCCGUAGGAACCUCAGACACUGUGUCUUCAAUCAAUCAAUAUACUCUCCUUAAUUGUAGGCUGCAAUAUUCAAAUAUACUCUGAAUUGAAAGUGAUUUUGAAUUCUUUAUCAUAGAGCUGCUGCAGAUUACCUUAACCGUGACCUCCCAUACAAGUUAUCACCAGAUGAUGUUUUUCUCACACUUGGUUGCACACAAGCAAUUGAAAUUGCAGUAACAGUCUUGGCUGCUAUACCUGGUGCCAAUGUUUUGCUUCCAAGACCAGGUUUCCCAUACUAUGAAGCUCGUGCUGCACGUAGUUGUCUUGAUGUCCGGCAUUUUGAUCUUCUCCCAGAAAAAGGAUGGGAGGUUGAUCUUGAAGCUGUUGAAGCUCUGGCAGAUGAGAACACGGUUGCAAUGGUUAUUAUAAACCCUGGCAAUCCUUGUGGAAGUGUCUACAGCUAUCAACACUUGGAAAAGGUGUCAUAAACUAUAUCUCUUCCUUCCUAUCUUUUAAUCUGCAUUAGCUGGAGCGCGUGGUUAUGCUAGCCCCCUUGGAGUAAUGUUUUUUGUUCAAUGUCAGGUUGCCGAGACAGCAAGAAUGCUUGGGAUUAUGGUGAUUUCUGAUGAAGUAUAUGGCCACUUGACAUUUGGGAGUGCUCCAUUUGUGCCGAUGGGAGUCUUUGCGUCAACUGUGCCUGUCCUUACACUUGGAUCUAUAUCGAAGAGAUGGAUUGUUCCCGGCUGGCGAAUGGGCUGGCUUGUCACAAAUGAUCCCAAUGGCAUCCUUCAAGAUUCUGGGGUUGGCUCCCUGUCUCUGUCUCGAAGUAGAUGCAUUGACGUUGUUUUUUUUAAUUCUGUGGGAACUGACUCGUUUUCCCAUCAUGGUUCAAAGCCUUCUGUUCUUUUUAAUGAUAACAUCUAUGUCUGCAUUAACAUGGACUCGUAAUCUUGGCUUCUUAACAUAUCUAUUUGUUCUUCCUAGAUUGUUGCGUCAAUCAAGGACUACCUCAAUAUCUCUUCGGAUCCUCCGACUUUCAUUCAGGUUUGUAAUUCACGAUACUUUUCCUGAAGAGCAUAUUGUUGGUUUCCCGCUUAGAAUCUCACUGAUAUAAUGAAUCCUUGACAUGUAUUAGGCUGCAGUUCCUCAAAUCAUUGAAAAUACAAAGGAUGGUUUCUUUUCGAAAAUUAAUAACAUACUGGGAGAGGCUGCAGACACAUGCUAUGGAAAAAUACAGGACAUACCUUGCAUCAUUUGCCCUCAUAAACCAGAAGGUUCUAUGUUUGUAAUGGUGAGCGCAUCACAUUUCUUUUCCUUUAUAUGAUGAAGAAGAUGGUGCUUUAAUAAUUAAAAACAUUAACCCUUUUUCAGGUAAAAUUGAAUUUGACUCUGCUGGAAGGCAUCGAUGAUGAUGUGGACUUCUGUCUUAAGCUGGCUAAAGAGGAAUCAGUCAUGGUACUCCCAGGUAAUCAAUGCCGAUGGCACAAAGUUUCUGAUGUGGGGUGGGCUAUAUUGGUGACAAAUGUGAGCUUUAUAGACUUUACAAGCUUAAAAUGUGAACUCUAAAUGUGUUCAUUCUUGGUGUCCUUGUCGAAUUCACGUGAUCUUAUCUGACAAUUGAAGCUUUAAUUUGAGCAUCACUGUGCACUGAUGAUUGAUCAAUUCAAUCAUCGACACUCAUCCUGACAACAUUGUAUUACAUCUUGCAGGAAUUGCUGUAGGAAUGAAGAAUUGGCUUCGCAUAACCUUCGCCAUUGAGCCUUCAGCACUUGAAGUUGGCCUUGAGAGGCUAAAAGUCUUCUGCCAAAGGCAUGCCAAGAAGCAGUAAGAUUUCAUCAAAGUAUCAAGCAGCGAAGAGAAUCAAUAGUUGCUCGUUGAUUCUCAUGCUCCAAUGUUAGAUUUACUAGCCAUUCUGUCAACAAGAACAGGCUGUGGAGAUGUACAACUUCUCGUCGGAUCUCCAAGGUGUAAUUGCCUGUCAGAAAAUUAUCUCUCGAUCUAAAUUAUAACUUAGAUUAGUAAGUCAUUGAAUUAAAUCAAGUCAAAUCAGAUUUAAUAACAAUCACAAAUAAAAUAUAAUUUAUUUUAACUUUUAAUAUCUACUUGUUUUUAUUAUUAAAAUAUAAAACAUCACUUCGCAUUACAACACAUUAAAAAUAUAAUAGUAGAUACCGUUCGGAUUGAAUUAUUUUUUUAAUAAAUAAAAUAUACUAAAUAAAUGUUUUUUUAUUCAUUGAAUUAUCAUUUACUAUACAACAAAUUCAUAAACUUAAAAAUAAAUUUGCUAGAAAAUUGUAAUAAAAAGUACAAACGCUUUGAUAUAUUUGUAAGCUACUCAUCAAAAGAGAUAUUUUAAGGUAAUCCAAAGGAAGAUUCAUAGCAGUCAAGAUAAUGAAAGACUACUUUUUUUUUAAUAGUAUCAUUAAUUUGACUGCGAUGAACUUUCUCUCUAUUUUUGUGCUUCGUUCGAUUUGGUCACACGCACAGGAACUCCACAAAACCAAGCCCUAUUUUGAGACUACUGGAACCUUGGAAAAUCCUUUCUAAAAAAUGAUAUCUAAUGAAUUUCUUCUCUCUUCAUGGAUUCUUUUUGUUAUAUUUUUACAAGGAUAAAAAUACAAGUUUGACUUAUUAAAAAGAACAGCUAUGAAUCUCAAACCUGACUAGUCUUACCUUUUAAAAAAGAUAUAAUGAUAUUUAAGUAAAAACAAAGAAAAAAAAACCAGGUUGAUUCAAAACUUGAUUUGUAUAUAAUGUUUUAAAAAAUUAAACAAAAAUUGACUUAAAUAAAACUUGAUCGGACUAUUUUUUUCAUAGUAACAUUGAUAUAACUUUUUUCUUAUCUUGAAACGGCACCAUUUUACUUGAUCGGGAUUAAGAUAAUGUUUGAUAUUGCGGUUGUAAAAUGUUUUUGAAAAUUUUUUAUUUUUAUUUUGUUUUAAAUUAAUAUAUUUUUUAUAUUUUGAUAUGCUGAUAUCAAAAAUAAUUUUUUUAAAAAAUAAAUAUCUUUUUAAUAUAUUUUAAAAUAAAAAAUAUUUAAAAAAAAUCCGUUACUCACUCCUGGCACUCUUUGAUUCAUUCAAUUUGCAACUACAAGCUUGAAUCGUGUCACCGGUUAAGACGUGUUUAAUAAGUUUACUUCAUAGGCUAAUUUGAAUCUUUAUAUAUAUAUAUAUAUAUAUAUAUAUAUAUAUAUAUAUAUAUAUAUAUAUAUAUAUAUAUAUAUAUAUAAAGGAUGCUUUAUACUAGAAAAGGCUUUGGUGGGAUUUUAAACAACAUUGAUAGAUCCGCCAAUAGGAGCCUAAAGUAAGUACAGUUUUCUUAAUUGUUUUUAGUUGUAACUUAGUCCCUAUAGUUUUUAAGAUUUACCUUAGACUUCUGUUCAAUUUCACGUUUUUGUUUUUUCAACUUCUUUUUAUUUUUUAUGAAAUAGAAAGAAAAUGGAAAAAAGGGAGCACUAAAUUUGAGGAUGGAACUGAUCACGAUCAAGGCUAGUCAGAGGGUUAUGUAGUGAUUUUUGAUCCCAUAAGGAUUACUCAAUGAGUUUUAACAAAUUACAGGGACUAAGUUGACACUAAGAACAUGUUUGGCAUUGCCUUUUAAACACCUUUUGAAAAAAAAAUGAUUUUUUUAAAAUUAAAUUUUAUAUUUUUUUAAAUCGUUUUGAUGUAUUAAUAUUACAAAUAAUUUUUUUAAAAAUAAAAAAUACUUUUAAAAAUAAUUAUCAUCAUGUUAUCGCGGUAGCUAAUUGCAUGAAAUUACAUGAUAUGGUAUGAUUUAAUUAAAAAUUCAAAUGACUCGUGAUUUAGAGCAAGCCUGUUUUAAUUUUUUUUCAUAAUAUUAUUGUUUUGAUAUUUUUUUAAAAGAAUAUAUUAAUCUAAAUUAACCCACCUCAGUCGUAAUCAAAAUCUGGCGUCGAAAUAACCAGAGUGAAGAGUAGAUGGUGUCUGUUAGCAUUGCAAUCGUAGCAUAAUUUGUUUUAGAAGAAAAUGGAAAAAAAGGAGCACUAGAUUUGAGGAUGAGACUGGUGACUGAUCAAGGCUAGUCAAAGGGUUAUGUAAUAAUGUUUUGUUCCGCAAGGAUUACUCGAUUUUUUUUUGACAAAAAAUUACAAACGUGACAAAACUCUCUUUUAUAAUGAAGCUUGUGCUGGCUAUGCAUCAAACAGGAGCAGCGACAAGAAGAACCAGCCACAGCUUCUCCACUGCAAACGCAGAUACCAUCGUGAGACAUGGAGAACGGAACAAAGAAAUGGGGUUUUCAGGCAAAGAAAGGCAUGAACUCAACAGCAUCAAUCUCAGUUCGUGGAGUUAUUAACCGCUUAGCUGAAAAUCUGAACAAAGAAGACAAAAGAGAAGUUAUACCACUAGCUCAUGGUGACCCUUCUGCCUUCCCUUGCUUCAGGACUACACCUGUGGCUGAUGAGGCUAUUUUUGAUGCUGUACGAUCUGCUAAGAACAAUCAUUAUGCUCCAACUGUGGGCCUCCUUCCUGCUAGGAGGUAUCUACUUUGAAUGAUUUUGUGUGUGUAGAUUUUUAUGCUCCCUGUCUUUAAAAUUUCUCCGUGUUGAUAAUUUCCAAUGAAGCAGUUUUGAUUUGUGGUUUAUGUUAAAUUUGCAUCAAUUUUUUGGCGAUGAAGUUUUAUUGAGCUUAACAAGCUCUAACAUGAAGCGAUAAAGCUUGGCAUACAUCCCGUAGGAACCUCAGACACUGUGUCUUCAAUCAAUCAAUAUACUCUCCUUAAUUGUAGGCUGCAAUAUUCAAAUAUACUCUGAAUUGAAAGUGAUUUUG